rnacentral:lncRNA from 1 species
GGGGCCGCGCCCGCCCCGCCGGGUCUCUCGGAAGCCCUGGGUCUUUUAACCGUGUGUCAAAACAUGCGCCCAAGCAUUGAAGGACUCGCCACUGGUAAAUACUGCUGAAAAUGUGAAGCCUACAGAUGCAGCAACAAGUGGAGUUGUUUGGAAAAGGAACAAGUAAAGGGUUCCUAAAACUGCAAGACAUCUGGAGGAAUGCCUAGACAGGAACUGGACUGAGGUUGUAUUGUGGGAAGAAAUGGAAAUAAGACUGUGAAAAUGGAUUGAAGAAAUGAAGGAGCAAUAUUUGGGGAAAGGAGAAGAUAAGAAGUACAAGAUACCAUUUGAUGCUUUUUUCCCUGCAGAAAGCAGUAAAAACCCUGUCCUCCCCAAAAUGUGGUCCUGGCUGGUGAGAUCUUGUUUCAUAAAUGAUGGGAAGAGUGCAGGUUACAGUCAAGGUACAGCUUGGUUCAGGAUGAUGAUGUGAGAUUUGUGCACUUGGAUACUCUCCAGGGACAUCAUUGUUACCUUGGUUACAUACUUCCCAUUUUCACAUUUAAUGAAUGAAAAUAUAAUCCAAUAAUAGCAAAGUUUAAAAAAAAGAGCACUUCAAAACCAGGCCUUAACAAAAUGUGGAGUUUUAUUUAACUGGAUCCUACUAAAAAUACAGGUAGAGGAUCUACCUCCCGCUCCCAGCAUAAAGAUUUCUCUCGGUAUUUACAGAACAUAAAGAUUUUGUAGGCUUCAUUCAGCCUUCAAUACCUGAAUGUUCAAUUUCAUAGAUUAUAGGGAUGAGUUGUGCAGAUACCUUAAAAACCAAGGGGAAUAUUGUGUGUAAAAUUCACAUGAAAAGCAUGUAUGUUGAAAAAUGCAUAGCUAUUUGUUUUUUGACUUUGUACCAGAUGCAGAUAUUUCUAUGUGUAAUUUUGGUAAAACACCUAAGCCUCAGAAACUCAGUUUUGUUACUCCUGAAAAACAGAUUUUAAAAAAAAGUAAAUUAAGACAAAAAUGCCCUGCUGCCAUCUCUUUGUCAGAUGUAUAACAGCAAAAGAUCCACUCAAUGAAUUGCAGUUGGGUUAACUCUAGCUAAGUUUUUCAAAAGUCAUCUGAAAUGAAAGAGUUAGACAAACUAAUCCCCACCCUAGGUCAAGCAUGACUGUAUUCAAUUUUAUGGAAGAAAUAAAACUUCCCAGUAGUGAGAAACA